UACGUAGGGUGCAAGCGUUGUCCGGAAUUACUGGGUGUAAAGCGCGUGUAGGCGGCAGGCCAAGUCGGUGGUGAAAGCGCCCGGCUCAACUGGGCGAGGUCCAUGGAAACUGGUCAGCUGGAGGACGGUAGAGGCGAGUGGAAUUCCCGGUGUAGUGGUGAAAUGCGUAGAGAUCGGGAGGAACACCUGUGGCGAAGGCGGCUCGCUGGGCCGGUCCUGACGCUGAAACGCGAAGGCGUGGGGAGCGAACGGG
rnacentral:rRNA from 1 species